rnacentral:lncRNA from 1 species
CAGAGAAUGAAGCGUGAAAGCUCUUUUAUGGAGAUUACGGAUGCUUCAUUUAUUCCCGCAAAUGGCAAACACUGCCCGGGAAAAGACCGAGCGAGCGAGCUCCUUGUCUUGGAUCCUUAGCCGUCUCCGUGUUCACAAGCUCACUUGGCUGUUGGGAAAGCCUCCUGGUCAAUAAAUACAUAUUAAUCACGUGAAGCGAUUGACAUGCAAAUGAAGGGC